rnacentral:lncRNA from 1 species
AAGCAUUGGGCCUCUUAUCAACAUAUGACGAGUGGAAUGAAAAUACAAGUUGAUUUAAGCGCGGCCUGUAAAAAACAUUGAAGUGGUUUGUGCAACAAAACCUAUAAUUUCAUUAACAUACAGUACAUUGAAGAGAGGGGGUUAGGAGAUAGAAUAACUUCUGCAAUUUUAAAAAAGGAGAAAACAGAUCCAAGAGCUGACACAAUUUGCUGUUUUAAAUAACGACAAUAUUACAAUAGAGAAAUUCUCAAAUCGAUAGAAAUCCCUGGUCAUCUUAUCUUCCUUCAGUCAUGUUAUAUGAUGAUGAUGACCUGAUUUGUUCCUCUUUUUUUGGCUGGCUGGCUGGCUGUACAUUCCCACAGCUUUCAGAAUCAGAACUGGUACUACGAGUUUCUAAUACUUAAACAUCAGUAUCUCUCAAUGGU